AUCCAACUGACAAGUCCCAAAUAGGAGGAAACGUGCGUUCUGGAU
rfam:Schistosoma curassoni strain Dakar, Senegal genome assembly, scaffold: SCTD_scaffold0010339